rnacentral:rRNA from 1 species
GUCCACGCCGUAAACGAUGGGCACUUGGUGUUGGAGGUAUUGACCCCUUCAGUGCCGAAGCUAACGCGAUAAGUGCCCCGCCUGGGGAGUACGGCCGCAAGGUUAAACUCAAAGAAUUGACGGGGCCCGCACAAGCGGUGGAGCAUGUGGUUUAAUUCGAUGCAACGCGAAAACCUUACCUGGGCUCGAAAUGUAGUGGAAGACAGUAGAGAUAUUGUCGCCUUCGGGCCGCUAUAUAGGUGCUGCAUGGCUGUCGU